rnacentral:rRNA from 1 species
GGAUUAGAUACCCUGGUAGUCCACACCGUAAACGCUGUCUACUAGCUGUGUGUGUCUUUAAGACGUGCGUAGCGAAGCUAACGCGCUAAGUAGACCGCCUGGGGAGUACGGCCGCAAGGUUAAAACUCAAAUGAAUUGACGGGGGCCCGCACAAGCGGUGGAGCAUGUGGUUUAAUUCGAUGCAACGCGAAGAACCUUACCUACACUUGACAUGCUGAGAAGUUACUAGAGAUAGUUUCGUGCCUUCGGGAACUCAGACACAGGUGCUGCAUGGCUGUCGUCAGCUCGUGCCG